CCGGGAAGGGCCGGGCCGGACCCGGGAAGGGCCGGGCCGGACCCGGGAAGGGCCGGGCCGGUGGAGCCCCGUGCAGGUGGCGGGAGGCAGCCGCCUCUGCCCGCAGGGAGCCGAGCCAAGGGCCGGGAGCUGCGGGCCGGCGGUCCAGCCUCCCCGCCAGCCUCCGCCGCAAUGCCGCCGUAGGUGUUUCGGUAGUUUCAGUAAUAGGGCGUCGGUGCUGUUUUACCCUGUGUGUUGGUUUGCCUAGAGAAGAAGUACAGUGGCGAAGUGGAGUCAUGGAGACACUGCAACCCCACCUGGCCUUCUGUGUCACCUGCUCCAGGGGAUCGUGCCUUGGCAGGGGCUUGGGCUGGAUGACCUCCAACCGCAGAGAACCUGCGGUUUUUCCCGAAGAGAUCACUGGUGCAGCAUCCCUCAUCUUCCUAAUGCCCAGCCUCUUCAAACCCCUCAGCAGCAGCUCGGUGUGAGCCCCUGCGUUCCAGUGUUUCUUAAAUGCAGAUUGUUUGAGGCUGAACUUCAUGGCAGGAUUUUUUGGACUUUGCCACUGAGAAAAUGCUCUGGAGUGGGGCUGCUGCAAGUUCCCACUCCAUGAGGUACUGACCCAAGGAAAUGCAGAACUGAUACAGCUGUAUUGCUUUAUCUGGGAGAGGUACAUGUGACAGAGAUGCUUGUAAGACACAUGUUCAGAAGUUGCUCUUUAUGGGAGGAUUUGGGGUUGUUGCCCCAAAUUUGGGGUUGUUGCCCCUUUUUUUGGGCUGGGUUAUGCUGGGGUGGAAGCACACAACCAGGGACAGCACAUGAUUUUGAACCAUACUGACAAGUGAUGGGAUUAGCUCCUUACAGCUGGAACAUCACACAAUUUCUUCAUGGCAAGUUUCAGCUCCACUGUUGUUCCAAAGCUCUAGCAACUGGGUGUGUUUGCUUCUCUUCCUGAUAUUUUCUGUGAGUUGGGAAAUAAACUUCAACCUUUGAAAUUCUUGGUUAACACUGAGAAAAUCUCCAGCAUGGCUCUUCUGCGUGUUUGGAAGAAAACAGUCCUUCAUGCAUAGACAGCUCUCUCUUAGGACACUUGGCAACUAUUAUUUAGCUCAGCCUCUAACUUAGUGUGAAGUACCUAAUGGCUUUUAUUUUCCCUAUUUUUAACUUUUUUUUCGGUGUUUUUUAUGUUUACACAGAGUAAAUAAUCCUGCAAGCAGGCAGUGAUGGAACUGAAAAUACUGUCCAGUUUUCUGACUUUCUGAAGCAUGAAACCAAACACUCUUCUCAUUGCAAGGAAAAAGUUACCAAACUCCAAAACAGAACUCAGUAUCGCUUGCUUGAAAUAUGAGAGGACUAUGCCAAGUGUGGGAAGAGUAGGGUAAUACUCACUUUCUCAUGCUGUGGAAGCCCAGGGCACUGGGAAUAUUUCUCUUGUCUGCUUUGGGGUGCCCUGACCCUCAGGGAAGCACUGACUUUGACCCUCAUUCAUGGAGAAAGUUUCCUAGACUUCAAGAUAGACUAGAAUCCAUUAAAGUGUGAAACAGAUUAUAGAGAGUAGUGUAGGUGUAUCACUUGGUGAGAAAUUUUGGUUUUGGGAUUUUUAGUAUGUUGUGGAUGGAAGCAUGAUAGAGGGCACAGGGUGUCAUCCUGUGUCUCCAUGCUUCUUCUUCCUUCUUCUUCUUGGGUUUGGGUGGCAUUUUGUAAUUGGGCAGGAAAGUCCACAUUGUGGGCUCUUUGGGAUCAGUUAUUGGGUUAAAAGGGAAAAUAAUCUAGGUGUCAGUUCUUAAUUGGAUAGUUUAGUCUUAAAAGACCUUGUAACAAGAAAUUGUUAGCCAUUUUGUGCCUUCUAAUGAAAAGCUGCCAAACUCACAGUAGUGAGACUGUUUUACUGAUAAGAAAUAAUAAACAUAUGAGUCCGAACAUGAGCUACUGUCUCAAGUGCCUUCAAUCCAGACCCAGAGAAGCCACAACUGGAACACCACAUUAAAUAAACACAAACUUACUCAGUGUUCUGGAAAAUUAUUUGGAAACCACUAAUAUUUUCUAAGAAAUUAUACAUUUCAGAUAGUAUCCAAGGAUUUUCAGUGCUUGCUUGCAGCAUUAGUGCAUCAUAUGUGUGUCUCUUCUGAUUGUGAAUUGGUAUUUUAAGAUGCAGAGAGAGUUAGAGAUUAUACCAGUCUAGUUAUCUGCAUUGAAUUCAUUGAAAAUAUGACUGUGCUAGUGAUAAAUCUUGUUAGUGCUGCAUGGAGACAGAUCUGCUUGGUGCGGGGAGAAUUACCGGGAUACAUUUUCUGCUGGUUGCCAUGGGAAUCAUAAAUCCAUGCAGCUGUACAGCAGUGCGUUAAUCUGUGUGUGCAGUGUAAUCCAAUUUCCAAAUUAGGUCGUUAGUUCUGAGCAGACUGGUAACAGCUGGAUUAAAUGCUCUCCAUUCACUUCACUGGAAAUAGUGACCACAGUCCAGCCAACACACCUCUGAUCUUCUCAGAAAGACACAGUGUUACAUCAUGGUGCAAUUUCAUAUUGUAAUGGCAGUGAAUGACUUGCCGCAAAUCCCAAGCUCCAUGUGUUUCAGGUGUUUAUAAGAAGUAAUUGUUCUCAGCCUGAAUUAUUAUGUCAUUUAUGUUUUAGAGAUGGCAUCAGAAGUGUAAGGACUCUUUAGUCCCUCAUUAAGAUAGUUAUUACACUGGUGCAGCAAUGCGUGCUGAUACUAUCAUGACUUAAAGCUCUAAUUGCAAAAUAAGAUUGUGUUUAAUCUGGAAUCAAUUUAGAAAACAUAUUGCCUGCAAGGCAAUUGAGUAGCAGAGUGUGGUUGAAAACUCAUGUGUCUGUGUACAAUUCAGGACAACUACUACUGAUGUGAUGUGAUUCCUCUUUUAUUAUUUUGCAAUUACUUUUUUUUUUUUUGCAAUUACUGUAUUAUUACUUCCACUGCAUUUCCUGCAGCUUGCUGAAAUGUACUUACAUACUUCAGUGUUGGAGAAAGUUCUCACAAAGCCAAGAUGAGCAGGCUCAGUUCAUAUGUGCAAGGUGGCCUCUUUGAGAAGCUGUGUUUGUGUAAAAUGACAGACCUGUCCUCUACAGCAGGCCUGUAGAUAGGGUAGUUUUUUGGACAGCACAGUUGAAAGAAAUCCAUUUUUCUUUGUCUCACAGGGGUUGAUUGUACUGCCAGUCUUCUCUGCCCUGCCAGGCCACUGUGAAUUGAGCUAAUUGUGGGCUGAGAGGAGCAACGUGAAACUGGGCUCAUAAUUACAAAAGGAGAAUGUAAUCAUGCUUCUCAUUUUCAGUUUCAUUUUUACACACAACAGAAUGGUGUAAAUUUGGGGUUUUCUCAUGGUUAUGGGUUCCACAGAAUGCUCAUUUAGGAGCUUGGUUUUCCAGAACUCAGGUUGAAGAGUCUGUUUCAG